GACGAACGCUGGCGGCGUGCCUAAUACAUGCAAGUUGAGCGCUGAAGGUUGGUACUUGUACCCACUGGAUGAGCAGCGAACGGGUGAGUAACGCGUGGGGAAUCUGCCUUUGAGCGGGGGACAACAUUUGGAAACGAAUGCUAAUACCGCAUAAAAACUUUAAACACAAGUUUUAAGUUUGAAAGAUGCAAUUGCAUCACUCAAAGAUGAUCCCGCGUUGUAUUAGCUAGUUGGUGAGGUAAAGGCUCACCAAGGCGAUGAUACAUAGCCGACCUGAGAGGGUGAUCGGCCACAUUGGGACUGAGACACGGCCCAAACUCCUACGGGAGGCAGCAGUAGGGAAUCUUCGGCAAUGGACGAAAGUCUGACCGAGCAACGCCGCGUGAGUGAAGAAGGUUGUCGGAUCGUAAAGCUCUGUUGGUAGAGAAGAACGUUGGUGAGAGUGGAAAGCUCAUCAAGUGACGGUAACUACCCAGAAAGGGACGGCUAACUACGUG
rnacentral:rRNA from 1 species